rnacentral:rRNA from 1 species
UACGAAGGGGGGCUAGCGUUGCUCGGAAUCACUGGGCGUAAAGCGCACGUAGGCGGCUUCUUAAGUCAGGGGUGAAAUCCUGGAGCUCAACUCCAGAACUGCCUUUGAUACUGGGAGGCUCGAGUCCGGGAGAGGUGAGUGGAACUGCGAGUGUAGAGGUGAAAUUCGUAGAUAUUCGCAAGAACACCAGUGGCGAAGGCGGCUCACUGGCCCGGUACUGACGCUGAGACGCGAAAGCGUGGGGAGCCGAACGAGG